CCUACGGGUGGCUGCAGUGGGGAAUAUUGCACAAUGGGGGAGACCCUGAUGCAGCGACGCCGCGUGAGUGAAGAAGUAUUACGGUAUGUAAAGCUCUAUCAGCCGGGAAGAAGAAAGACGGUACCUGACUAAGAAGCGUCGGCUAACUACGUGCCAGCAGCCGCGGUAAUACGUAGGGGGCAAGCGUUAACCGGAUUUACUGGGUGUAAAGGGAGCGUAGACGUCUGUGCAAGUCUGAAGUGAAAGCCCAGGGCUCAACCCUGGGACUGCCUUGGAAACUGUCGGGCUAGAGUGCUGGAGAGGUAAGUGGAAUGCCUAGUGUAGCGGUGAAAUGCGUAGAUAUUAGGAAGAACACCAGUGGCGAAGGCGGCUUACUGGACAGUAACUGACGUUGAGGCUCGAAAGCGUGGGUAGCAAACAGGAUUAGAUACCCUUGUAGUC
rnacentral:rRNA from 1 species